UGCUAUGCCUACGUACUGCCAUC
rnacentral:miRNA from 17 species